GUAGUCAGUGAUGAUUCCAUUUUACAGUUUGCCUGAUUUCGUCAUAGAACAUGAAGGCAACCUUUAAGUCACUACCUCUUCUGAGACAC